rnacentral:rRNA from 1 species
CCUACGGGAGGCAGCAGUGGGGGAUUUUGCACAAUGGACGGAAGCCUGACGCAGCGACGCCGCGUGAGUGAUUAAGGUCUUCGGAUUGUAAACCUCUGUCAGUGGUGACGAAACGAGACGGUAGCCGCGGAGGACGCACCGGCUAACUCCGUGCCAGCAGCCGCGGUAAUACGUAGGUGGCAAGCGUUGUCCGGAAUUAUUGGGCGUAAAGGGUGCGUAGGCGGGAAAGUAAGUUGGAUGUUAAAGGCACGGGCUCAACCUGUAUGAGCGUUCAAAACUGGUUAGCUUGAGUGGGGUAGAGGUAAGCGGAAUUCCUGGUGUAGCGGUGAAAUGCGUAGAUAUUAGGAGGAACACCAGUGGCGAAAGCGCCUUACUGGGCUGUAAUUGACGCUGAGGAUCGAAAGCGUGGGUAGCAAACGGGAUUAGAUACCCUUGUAGUC